rnacentral:hammerhead_ribozyme from 1 species
AUCAGCUGACGAGUCCCGAAUAGGACGAAAUGCGCGUUCUGGAU